UACGAGUUUGAUCCUGGCUCAGAUUGAACGCUGGCGGCAUGCCUUACACAUGCAAGUCGAACGGUAACGCGGGGCAACCUGGCGACGAGUGGCGAACGGGUGAGUAAAGUAUCGGAACGUGCCCAAUAGUGGGGGAUAGCCCGGCGAAAGCCGGAUUAAUACCGCAUGAGACCUGAGGGUGAAAGCGGGGGACUCGCAAGAGCCUCGCGCUGUUGGAGCGGCCGAUAUCAGAUUAGGUAGUUGGUGGGGUAAAGGCCUACCAAGCCGACGAUCUGUAGCUGGUCUGAGAGGACGACCAGCCACACUGGGACUGAGACACGGCCCAGACUCCUACGGGAGGCAGCAGUGGGGAAUUUUGGACAAUGGGCGCAAGCCUGAUCCAGCCAUGCCGCGUGCGGGAAGAAGGCCUUCGGGUUGUAAACCGCUUUUGUCAGGGAAGAAAUCCUUUGAGCUAAUACCUCGGAGGGAUGACGGUACCUGAAGAAUAAGCACCGGCUAACUACGUG
rnacentral:rRNA from 1 species